rnacentral:rRNA from 1 species
CGGGGCCCCGCACAAGCAGCGGAGCAUGCGGCUUAAUUCGACGCAACGCGAAGAACCUUACCAAGGCUUGACAUAUACAGGAAUAUGGCAGAGAUGUCAUAGCCGCAAGGUCUGUAUACAGGUGGUGCAUGGUUGUCGUCAGCUCGUGUCGUGAGAUGUUGGGUUAAGUCCCGCAACGAGCGCAACCCUCGUUCUGUGUUGCCAGCAUUUAGUUGGGGACUCACAGGAGACUGCCGGGGUUAACUCGGAGGAAGGUGGGGAUGACGUCAAAUCAUCAUGCCCCUUAUGUCUUGGGCUGCACGCAUGCUACAAUGGCUGGUACAAACGGCUGCAAUACCGCAAGGUGGAGCGAAUCCGAGAAAGCCAGUCUCAGUUCGGAUUGGGGUCUGCAACUCGACCCCAUGAAGUCGGAGUUGCUAGUAAUCGUAGAUCAGCAACGCUACGGUGAAUACGUUCCCGGGGCUUGUACACACCGCCCGUCACAUCACGAAAGUCGGUAACACCCA